rnacentral:rRNA from 1 species
UCGAAGGGGGCGAGCGUUGUUCGGAAUUACUGGGCGUAAAGGGCGCGUAGGCGGCGACUCAAGUUAGAUGUGAAAGUCCUGGGCUUAACCUGGGGGACUGCAUUUGAUACUGGGUUGCUUGAAUUCGGGAGAGGAUAGCGGAAUUCCCAGUGUAGAGGUGAAAUUCGUAGAUAUUGGGAAGAACACCGGUGGCGAAGGCGGCUAUCUGGACCGACAUUGACGCUGAGGCGCGAAAGCGUGGGGAGCGAACAGG